GGGAGUAUCCUUGGUGAUCGCUCCGCCCUUUUCGGCGGGGAGGAAAGUCCGGGCUCCGCAGGGCAGGGCGCUGGGUAACGCCCAGUUGGCGCAAGCCAAAGGAGAGUGCCACAGAAACAUACCGCCCCCAGGGGCAAGGGUGAAAAGGUGGGGUAAGAGCCCACCGGAUGAGGAGCGAUCCUCACGCCAGGAAAACCCCGCCCGGAGCAAGACCGAAUAGGAGGGGACGAGGCUGCCCGCCGACCCUCGGGUACGGUCGCAUAAAGACCGCCGCAAGGCGCUCUUCAGAUAAAUGAUCAUCCACGACAGAACCCGGCUUACUGGAUGCUCCCGUUU
rnacentral:RNase_P_RNA from 1 species